CAAUAGCGUAUAUUAACGUUGUUGCAGUUAAAAAGCUCGUAGUUGGAUUUCUGGAGGGAGCGUCGGCCCGUAUUUACGAGUGCGUGACGUCUCUGUCCAUCCUUGCGGGAAGGCACGGCAUUGAUUUGUUGUGUCGGAUCGCAUCAUUUACUGUGAAAAAAUUAGAGUGUUCAAAGCAGGCUUUCGCUUGAAUACAUUAGCAUGGAAUAAUAAGUUAGGACUUUGGUGCUAUUUUGUUGGUUGAGCCUAAAGUAAUGAUUAAUAGGGAUAGUUGGGGGCACCUGUAUUGCGUUGUCAGAGGUGAAAUUCUUGGAUUUACGCAAGACAAACAGCUGCGAAAGCGUCUGCCAAGGAUGUUUUCAUUA
rnacentral:rRNA from 1 species